rnacentral:rRNA from 1 species
AUGAACGCUGGCGGCGUGCCUAAUACAUGCAAGUCGAACGAGGUGCUUAAGUAGCAAUACGAGAGUAUCCUAGUGGCGAACGGGUGAGUAACGCGUUGGUGACCUACCCCAAAGUGUGGGAUAACAGUCCGAAAGAAUUGCUAAUACCGCAUGUGAUCUUGGAGAUUAGAACCUCUUUGAUUAAAGGAUUUAUUCGCUUCGGGAGGGGCCUGCGUCCCAUCAGCUAGUUGGUAGGGUAAUGGCCUACCAAGGCUUUGACGGGUAGGGGACCUGAGAGGGUGGCCCCCCACAAUGGAACUGAAACACGGUCCAUACACCUACGGGUGGCAGCAGUAGGGAAUAUUAGUAAUGGGCGAAAGCCUGAACUAGCAACACCGCGUGUGCGAUGAAGGCCUUCGGGUUGUAAAGCACUUUUCGGGAGGAUGAGGAAGGACGGUACUCCCGGAAUAAGUCUCGGCUAACUACGU